rnacentral:sRNA from 1 species
AGAAGGAAACUUAGUUAGUUUGGUAAGGGGAACAUUAGGUUUGGUAAGGGGAACACUAGGUUUGGAAAGGGGAACACUAGGUUUGGAAAGGGGAAUAUGGCAAAAACAAACAUUAAAAAAAUGUUUGCUUAGUAUUACGAUUAAAUGAAUAGAAAAAGAAAAAACAUUCUAAAAGAAACUUAGUUAGUUCGGCAGAAAGAAAACAUUAGGUUUGGCAAGGGGAACAUUAGGUUUGGCUGCUAAAAAGUAAAUUGCUUUUAAAUUUGGCAUCCACAGACAAGCAUCAAACCUCAGAACAUAAUAAAUACAAUUUCACUACUGUUAAAAUCCAAUUCAUACACAAGUUUAAUCAUCAUAACACCAAGCAAUUAACUCUAAAAAUUUUAAGAGAAAGACAGAGGGUUUUCAGAAUAAAAGAGCUAACAGGAAUUACGCCAAUAAAUUUGAUUGACCUCUCUGUACUAGAUUUGAAAGAGCCCCGAGAUCGAUUUGCGUCUGAGUGGUUCGCUAGUUUGGUGUGAAUCAAGAUUUUCGGUUUCAUCAUGGAUUGCAUCGUGGCGUAAUGAUUUUGGCUCUGUAAUGUUUCAUACAGGUCUGGUGGAGGAUGGUGCCAGCGGUGAUGUGCAGAGGAGCUCGUUCUAUGUGGCUGAAACGAUAAGAUGGAUGAAAAAGGAGCGACCUUGGGGAUUUGGACGUCGUACUGCAGCAGGGUGUGACAGUGUAGCUCCAAGACCAGAGCACACCGGAGAAGAAGAGAAAAAGGGGUAUUAGAGCAGGUUGCAAUCUUCGUAAUGGAGAAGGAGCUCUAGGGUUUCAGAUUUCAAAAAAAAAAUGUUUGUAUUUUUUUACCUCUUUUUAUUGUGUUAUUAUCUUCUUUAAUUUUUAGUUUAUACACGCCUGUAAUUGAUAUCUCCACAUCCCAUGUAUUUUGUGAUUUGUUUAUGGGCUUGUUUCAUUUUUGUUUACUGUACUUCAAUAUCUAGUGCACACACUCAUUAAUAAAUAUUCAAU